CAGCGAACCCUCCUGUUGAGCGUGGCGGAAGGACUCCGGGGCUGGAGUCUACCCUUUAGGAGUGGAGAGAAAGAGAGCGGAAAAAAGAACUCUAUAGACUUCUCCUGAGAGCAAAGCUCUGCGCCCGCGCAGCGCGGCGGUGACGACAUUCCUUCGCGCCCGAAGCCGAGCGUUGUCAGCGCGGGGAGGCGGGCGCCUGCGCAGUGGCUCCGAGCGGGCGGUUGCUUGUUGGUUGUUGUAGUAACGGGGGAAGCAGCCGUCGGCGGCGGCCGUGAGCCCGGCUGGGGAAGGAGGAGGGAGGUAGGCGCAGAGCGCGGUCCCCGCCGGCCCUCCCGGAGCCAUGGGAAGAUGAGACAGGAAUCAGUGCCACCUAAAUUGUUUGAUCCGGUGAAUCUGCAAGAAAAGGUCUCUGAGGCCCCCAUCUGCUGACUGCAUGACAAACCCUAAAGGAGAUGCCAGUCGUGAUGGCCCGGGACCUGGAGGAAACAGCAUCAUCCUCAGAGGAUGAGGAGGUGGUAAGCCAAGAGGAUCAUCCGUGUAUCAUGUGGACCGGAGGCUGCAGGAGAAUUCCAGUUUUGGUGUUCCACGCUGAGGCUAUUCUGACAAAGGACAACAAUAUUCGAGUAAUUGGAGAACGUUAUCAUUUGUCUUACAAAAUUGUGCGAACAGAUAGUCGCCUGGUACGCAGCAUUCUGACAGCCCAUGGAUUUCAUGAAGUUCACCCAAGCAGCACUGACUAUAACUUAAUGUGGACGGGAUCUCACCUGAAGCCCUUCUUACUUCGCACACUCUCUGAAGCACAAAAGGUUAAUCACUUUCCCAGGUCCUAUGAACUAACCCGGAAAGACCGACUCUACAAAAACAUCAUUCGAAUGCAGCACACACACGGAUUCAAGGCUUUUCACAUCCUCCCUCAGACCUUCCUUCUGCCAGCCGAGUAUGCGGAAUUCUGUAAUUCAUAUUCAAAGGACCGGGGACCUUGGAUAGUAAAACCAGUGGCCUCUUCUAGGGGACGGGGCGUCUACCUGAUCAACAAUCCGAACCAGAUUUCCCUGGAGGAGAACAUCCUGGUCUCCCGUUACAUUAACAACCCCCUGCUCAUAGACGAUUUCAAGUUUGACGUGCGCCUCUACGUACUUGUGACUUCCUAUGAUCCUCUUGUCAUCUAUCUCUAUGAAGAGGGAUUGGCUAGGUUUGCAACUGUGAGAUAUGAUCAAGGAGCCAAGAACAUUCGGAACCAGUUCAUGCACCUGACAAACUACAGUGUGAAUAAGAAGAGUGGAGACUAUGUCAGCUGUGAUGAUCCAGAGGUGGAGGAUUAUGGGAACAAAUGGAGCAUGAGUGCCAUGCUUAGGUAUCUGAAACAGGAAGGCAGAGAUACAACUGCGUUGAUGGCCCAUGUGGAAGACCUGAUUAUUAAGACUAUCAUCUCUGCUGAACUAGCUAUUGCUACAGCCUGUAAAACCUUUGUUCCUCACCGCAGCAGUUGUUUUGAACUCUAUGGCUUUGAUGUGCUCAUAGAUUCUACUCUGAAGCCAUGGUUGUUGGAAGUAAAUCUCUCCCCUUCUUUGGCCUGCGAUGCACCUCUGGACCUAAAGAUUAAAGCCAGUAUGAUUUCAGAUAUGUUCACUGUUGUAGGAUUUGUGUGCCAGGAUCCUGCCCAGAGGGCAUCAACCCGGCCAAUUUAUCCCACCUUUGAGUCUUCCAGGCGAAACCCUUUCCAGAAACCUCAGCGUCCAGUGUCUGCACAGUGUCAGUCCUCAGAUGCCAAACUGCGUUCCCGUCCACUGUCUGCCAGUGAUGCGGAAAUGAAAAACCUUGUGGGCUCAGCCCGAGAGAAGGUGCCGGGGAAGUUAGGUGGUUCUGUGCUUGGUCUGUCAAUGGAGGAGAUCAAAGUUUUACGAAGAGUGAAGGAAGAAAAUGAUCGGAGAGGUGGAUUUAUUCGCAUAUUCCCUACAUCGGAGACAUGGGAAAUAUAUGGGUCCUACCUGGAACACAAGACCUCCAUGAACUAUAUGCUGGCAACGCGUCUCUUCCAGGACAGGGGAAACCCAAGAAGAAGCUUAUUGACAGGAAGAACACGACUAGCUGCUGACGGAACCCCGGAACUGAAGGUAGAGAGUAUGAAUUCAAAGGCCAAACUGCACGCUGCCCUCUAUGAGCGGAAGCUCCUGUCUUUGGAGGUGCGAAAACGUCGACGACGGAGUGGCAGAUUGAGGGCAAUGAGGCCAAAAUACCCAGUGAUCACUCAGCCGGCCGAAAUGAAUGUUAAAACUGAGACAGAGAGUGACGAGGAGGAAGAAGUCGCGUUAGACAAUGAAGACGAAGAGCAGGAGGCUUCCCAGGAGGAAUCCGCGGGGUCCCUUGGAGAAAAUCAAGCCAAAUACACCCCCUCAUUGACUGUUAUGGUAGAAAAUCCGCCCAAAGAAAAUGCCAUGAAAGUUUCUGAAUGGAAUAAUAAAGGUGAGCAGUGCUGCAAAACAGAGACUCAGGAGCCAGAGCCUAAAUUUAACCUGAUGCAGGUUCUACAAGAUAAUGGCAAUCUUAGCAAAGUGCAGGCCCGGAUAGCAUUCUCUGCCUAUCUCCAGCAUGUUCAAAUUCGCCUGAUGAAAGACAGUGGAGGUCAAACGUUCAGUGCCAGUUGGGCCGCCAAAGAGGAUGAACAGAUGGAGCUAGUGGUUCGCUUCCUUAAACGAGCAUCCAGUAACCUCCAGCACUCACUGAGGAUGGUACUACCCAGUCGACGAUUGGCACUUCUGGAACGCAGAAGAAUCUUGGCACACCAACUGGGUGAUUUUAUUAUUGUGUACAACAAGGAAACAGAACAGAUGGCUGAAAAGAAAUCGAAGAAGAAACUUGAAGAAGAAGAGGAAGAUGGGGUGAAUACAGAAAACUUUCAGGAGUUCAUCAGACAAGCAAGUGAGGCUGAGCUGGAGGAAGUGUUGACUUUUUAUACCCAAAAAAACAAGUCUGCAAGCGUCUUCCUGGGGACUCACUCAAAAAGUUCUAAAAACAGCAACAGUUAUUCUGAUAGCGGGGCAAAGGGUGAUCACCCUGAGACGACGGAGGAAGUGAAAAUAAAGCAGCCCAAACAGCAGCAGGCAACAGAAAUUCACUCCGACAAAUUAUCUCGAUUUACUACUUCAGCAGAAAAAGAGGCUAAAUUAGUCUAUACAAAUUCUUCCUCUGCUUCUUUCUCUGGUCCUGCUGCUACUCUUCUGCAGAAAAUUCCCAAUACCCACUUGUCAUCUAUUAUUACAACCUCUGACCUGUCGGCAGGGCCUGGCCGCCGUUCUUCUUUAUCUCAGAUUCCUCCAGCUAUCCCCAGCAUGUCUCACCAGCCAACAAUUUUACUGAGCUCAGUCCCUGACAGUGCCUCUCCCUCCAUACAUCCUGGGACACAGAACGCACCAAGCCCUGCUGGCCUGCCACGCUGUCGAUCAGGCAGUUACACCAUUGGCCCCUUUUCCUCUUUCCAAAGUGCUGCACACAUCUAUAGCCAGAAACUGUCUCGUCCCUCUUCAGCAAAGGCAGAUUUGCCUACUCUGGACAUUCUAUCAGGCUCAUGCCAUCCAAAUAAGCCGCACUCGGGAAUGGCUAAAACACAAAGAGAGGGAGAAGAUGGGUCUCUGUACAGCAGACGGUAUAACCCAAGCAUGGUCACAGCCGAGCUGCAGCGGCUGGCUGAGAAGCAGGCAGCCCGCCAGUAUUCCCCGUCCACCCACAUCAGCCUCCUCACCCAGCAGGUAACAAACCUGAAUUUGGCAAGUGGCGUCAUAAACAGAAGCAGUGCUUCAACCCCCCCCACCCUUCGGCCUGUCAUCAGUCCUAGUGGCCCGACAUGGUCAAUACAGUCAGACCCCCAAGCUCCUGAGAGCCACUCCACCCCUCCUGGAAGCAGGAGCCUUCAAACAGGUGGCUUUGCCUGGGAGGGAGAGGUAGAAAACAACGCGUAUAGCAAGGCUACAGGGGUGGUCCCGCAGCACAGGUACCACCCCACAGCGGGCAGCUACCAACUCCACUUUGCCCUGCAGCAGCUUGAACAACAGAAACUUCAGUCCCGGCAGCUCCUGGACCAGAGUCGAGCCCGGCACCAGGCCAUCUUUGGCAGUCACACACUCUCUAACUCCAAUUUAUGGACAAUAAAUACUGGUGCAGCUUGCAGAAUUUCAAGUGCCACAGGUAGUGGCCAGAAGCCAACUCCUCUGCCCCAGAAAGUGGUGCCGCCUCCAAGUUCUUCCUCAUCACUGACCCCCAAGCCCCCAGCCAAUCACAAACAAGUCCUCAGAAAGACCACAUCCCAGAGGGCCUCCAAGGGAUCCUCCGCGGAAGGGCAGCUGAACGGACUCCAGGGCAGCCUGAACGCUGCGGCCUUUGCUCCCAUCACCGGCCCCACAGAUCCCGCUCACACUAAAAGAUGAACCGCGACUGCCCAGAGGAAGAACCUAUUUGCUACUCCCGCACCUGCGGGGGCGUGACCGAGGCUGAAGCAUCCACCUGCGCUGCGAGGGCUCCACGCAGAUGGUGGGUCCAGGCUGUUCCCCACGAGCAGCUCCUGAAUCUGGGAAGCUCGUAUGUGCACAUAUCUCCAUCAUCAGCCCGCAGCGGACAGGUCCUCUAGGGGUCCUCUUCAGAAUGAGGCGGCACAGUCCCCGCCCCCCCCAUGCCUUUUCACUUGACCUCUGCUCCCUCUCCUCCCCUUUCCCUGGUCCCCUCUCUGGCUUCUACUGAAGAAAAAGUUUGAAGGGAACCCUGGGAAGUUCCAGGGGGAGGAUCCAGAGUCUGGGUUUUUCUACAGCAAGGUACUCUAGACUGAGCAUUAAAACCCCAAAGGAGAAUUGACGCCCAACAAGGCAGAGAGAAAAGGGACUUUAUUGACCUCUCAGUGAGUGCAAACAGGUUUGAGCACAGGGAAGCAUUUUGUUUGCUUGUGAGGAAUGAAGACUGUCACUUGAGGGAGAGGAGAGAAUGUAUUCCUGAUGUGCCUGGGACUUCUGGUUAGUAGUCUGAGGACCAUCUGAACUGUUGGCCAACGUGGUUGUGAACUGGGUAGGAGACAGUUCCUUCCUGACUCCCCAGUGAUGUGUAGAACUGGGAGAUAAGGUACAUGGGAGACUCCAUGUAUGGAUCGUGUGAGAAAGGAUAAAAGGGCAUGAGGCCAGGACAAGAACUCCGAGACUAGCAAAGACUGUGUGGAAUUGCCCUAGGUAACCGUUAGAAUCGGGUCCUCGGCUUGUUUCUUAUUGCACACCCCAUGUGCUUAUCAGCUGUUAAGACCAGACUCCAGAUCUCUCUUUCAUUUAACCAAGUACUUUUUGUGUCUUUUUUUUACUGGUACUGGACUUCUCUUGGUAAUAAACGAGACCGAUCAUAUGAUUCCACCCUCCAAAAAUGGUGUCAUUUCCAGUGUCCCUCCCUCCCCCUUCCCCGAAAUAAGUGUGUAUCUUUUCAGACAGACAGACACAAUGGCUCAAGUUUCUGUAGUGCCUCUCAGUGACAUGUGGAAUGGAGAGGCUGAACUUCAGACCCCCGCCCAUAUUUGUAUCUGCUGAUAAAGAUAAGAAUAGAGCUCUCGUAUAAAAAGA